UGUGUGAAUAACUGGUUUAAGGAAUAAUUAGUACUACUUUGUCAAAUUUAUUGGUAAUGCUAAAAUAAAUGUAUUGAAUAUCGUGGGUGAAUGAGGGAGUGUAAAUUUACCUGCACGCCAGGAAGCACAGAGACGACUGAUGUAUACCAUGACUAUGCAUGUGUCCUGUACCGAGUCACUUGAUAAGCCGAGUCAGUCACGAACAGGUCCUGUUCGGGGAGUGGGCACUGACUAGUGAAGGCAGUUACACACUGGCGCCGUACAGACAUCACUAAUUAUAUUCCUAAUGGUUGUUAUAUUUUUCUUAUAACAUAAUAGGUUAGAUAGGAUGAUGUCUGUGUUACAAUAUUACAGUAAACAGUAAUAUGCUGUGCAUGUAUAGUAGUAUUACGAAAAUGAAAUUAAAUAAAAACUCAAAAGUUCAUUAGCUAUCUCUCUCUUGGAACCCUUAGGGACGUUUUGCGGAAUCCUAGGGUUCCGGGGAAUCACGGCUGAGAAAUGCUGCUCUAUGCGGUAACACGAUAUGUCCUGCUGUGAUUAUUUAAUCCUUAUUUAACCCUUUCACUUUGAUAUACAACGACUCACAACACUAAAAAAACAAUGUGUGAAAACUUUAUAAGCAUCGGUAAGAGAGAAGGGAAUUCAAAACUAGAUAUACAAUUUCUAGCCAGUGUAAUGUUUGGGAGUAGUGGCUGCAGAACGAGAAAAAUGUUCCCAGAGUGAUUAGCGGUUAAGGAAAGAUGUGGCAAAUAAGUGAUAAGAAAGGUAGUCGGGGAGCUAUGAAACAAACACCUGCUGGGCAGUGCCGAGGCGGUGGUGUGGUCUCUGCACGUGGCAACACUGGCAGGUUCAGAAAUUCACCAGGUUUCGAUGGGUCUCUGGGGCGAGCAGAACGCUUUGCCGCUUUGCCCUGUCCUUGUCUGAGAAUAUAAUUUAAAGACGAUAAUUUUGUAGAUAUGACAGUAAAACUGUACACCACAUUUCAGUUUUUUUUUUUUUUUUUUUUUUAUGAAACAUGUUUCGUGUUAUCUACUGGAGUAGGGUUGACUUAAUCCCUAAUUGUUGGAUAGAGAAAUGUCUUACCAGCUGUUUUACUGCUAAAUCACUGUAGGAUUACUGUUGGCCCAAUACGAUACUGAUAGGGUAGUAAGUCUUGGUAUAGGUAAACUUUCAGGCAGGGCAGGCCUUGCAUAGAAGCGGCAAAGAGUUCAGCUCGUCCCAGCGACACAUCGAAACCUAGUGAAGCUCUGAAACCGUCAGUGUUGCCACGUGCAGAGACCACACCACGGCCUCGUUGCUGGCCCAGGUGUUUCUAUUUCAUACAUGAGUCUUCGACUGUACAUAUUUGCUUGGCACUGUUAGUGAUGUAUGAGUGGUUGUGAUGAAACUGUUUUGAUUAUUGUAACUUGUUAAAACAAGAAUGAAGAAUGGUGAGCGAGUAGAAAAGGCUAAGAAGUGAGGGUGGGAGGCUAGAGAGACUGAAUUGUGGGGAGGAAAGGAAGCAGUAAAGAGGGGUGGGAAGGAGGGUACAGGGAGACGGUUGGAUGGGGUAUGGAGGGAGGAGGGAGAACGGGAAGGAAGGAAGGGAAGGUAGUGAUAAAGUAAUAUAAAUAACAUCACAACGUCCACUCACUCUCCUCAAACCAGCUGAGCUAAACCACCACAAAACUAUUCCUUCACUACUAAGACCGAGACGUGCGUGGGGACGUGUUGGGCUGAAACUAUGAAGGGAAUUAAAAGUAACUUGGCAACAGUGCUGACGUCACACUAGUCAGCUAGCGGGCAGUAGCUGUUGUACUGUGUGUUGCGUACGUGUGAAAGACGUGUGUUCUGCCUCGCGUGGACUGUAGUGUGUUGUUCUACAUGGGUAUAGUGUCUGCGUGUGCGUGUGACUCUAGCAACGCCGUGGCCGUGCGCAGGAGUACAGAAGACAUGGGUAGUGUUGUGUUGGUGUUAGUUAAGGCGGGAACCCAGGAGUCAAGAGGCAGCCUGCUGGGAGAGUGUUCACUUCCGGGCAUCGAUCAGGUGGAGUUAAAAUUCUUGUAUUUCCUGGAUGUCCACAGUAUUCAGCACUUAUUGCGGAAAAAUACAAGUUGAAGCCCGCCACCUGAACGCCGCUGAAUGGCCUGACCAGAGCGGCAGCUGUUUGAAGUACCUCCGCCCCUCCGCCGCUGCCAGGGACUGCCGCUUUUUGAGUCAAAGCGACUGUGUGUGAAGCAGUCUGGUGGCCGAAGGCACAAGUCCAUCCUUCCCCAGCAGAGGCGGCGCGGCGGGGCUCUGUGGGCGGCUGGCGGGAGCUGCGGUGGGCUGGAAAGCGUCAGUCUGUAAAAGAUUCAAGGCUUAAAAAGUGAGGUAUUGAGUCCCGGUAGCCUUGUGUUCCCAGAGGCCCCGGCACUCCUAGACAGGCAGGCGCGGCUCUCCAAUAAUGGUAAGUAACAGUAGGAAGUAAUAAGCAAUAAGUAACAAGGCAAUUCGUGACGCUAGGACCACUUCUGACUGG